GGAGUUAGCCGGUGCUUCUUCUGCGAGUAACGUCACAGAUGUAAGGUAUUAACUUACACCCUUUCCUCCUCGCUGAAAGUGCUUUACAACCCGAAGGCCUUCUUCACACACGCGGCAUGGCUGCAUCAGGGUUUCCCCCAUUGUGCAAUAUUCCCCACUGCUGCCUCCCGUAGGAGUCUGGGCCGUGUCUCAGUCCCAGUGUGGCUGAUCAUCCUCUCAGACCAGCUAGGGAUCGUCGACUAGGUGAGCCUUUACCUCACCUACUAGCUAAUCCCACCUGGGCUUAUCCAUCAGCGCAAGGCCCGAAGGUCCCCUGCUUUCCCCCGUAGGGCGUAUGCGGUAUUAGCAGUCGUUUCCAACUGUUAUCCCCCACAAAUGGGCAAAUUCCCAGGCAUUACUCACCCGUCCGCCGCUCGUCAUCUUCAAAGCAAGCUUUUGAAAUGUUACCGCUCGACUUGCAUGUGUUAGGCCUGCCGCCAGCGUUCAAUCUGAGCCAGGAUCAAACUCUGA
rnacentral:rRNA from 1 species